GAUGAACGCUGGCGGCGUGCCUAAUACAUGCAAGUCGAGCGAACAGACGAGGAGCUUGCUCCUCUGACGUUAGCGGCGGACGGGUGAGUAACACGUGGAUAACCUACCUAUAAGACUGGUAUAACUUCGGGAAACCGGAGCUAAUACCGGAUGAUCUAUUGAACCGCGUGGGUCGAUAGUGAAAGUCGGUGUUGGUGUCACUUAUAGAUGGUUCCGCGCCGCAUUAGCUAGUUGGUAAGGUAACGGCUUACCAAGGCAACGAUGCGUAGCCGACCUGAGAGGGUGAUAGGCCACACUAGAACUGAGACACGGUCCAGACUCCUACGGGAGGCAGCAGUAGGGAAUCUUCCGCAAUGGGCGAAAGCUUGACGGAGCAACGCCGCGUGAGUGAUGAAGGUCUUCGGAUCGUAAAAAUCUGUUAUUAGGGAAGAACAAAUGUGUAAGUAACUAUGCACGUCUUGACGGUACCUAAUCAGAAAGCCACGGCUAACUACGUG
rnacentral:rRNA from 1 species